GACGGUUCCGCACAGGCGGAGUAACAGGGAACACGGUCAGGUUCAGGCCAAAUCCGUGACUGCCCCCGCAACUGUAGGCGGUGAGCCCUCGCCAAGACGCGCCACUGGGAGACCGGGAAGCGCUCUGCGCGGCGACCCGCGAGCCAGGAGACCUACCGUCGGUCU
rnacentral:ncRNA from 1 species